AAAAACAAAAGUGGAAAAAGAAAUCAGACUCCCGAAACCAACGAUUCCCUUUCUUCCCGAGCCGCCGCCUCUGCGCCUCCGCUCGCAGCUCCUGGCCGGCGCCGGAAUCCCCAGCCUCGCGGCCCACCAUCACACCAGCUCAGGCUCCUCACCCCCACGGAUGAUGAUCCCCUCCCCGACGACCCAACCCCACGCCGGAUUUUCGCUAACCCUAGCAGCGUCAACCUCGCGGGGUUCGGCCCUUCCGUCGAUUAGCUAACAAGCGCGUCGAGGGCCGCAUCUGGCUUUCAAGGUCGCCGGCGUCUUCGCAGGGAUGCACGACGGCAGGGAGGCCGUGGUCGCGGCCGUCCGUCCGCGACCUGUACCAACCGCCGAUCAGGUGCACCUCGCCUGGUAGGGAGGCUGUGGUCGCGGGCAUGACCGCCGGUUCUCAAUGCUGGGAUGGGGUCGUCCACGACCUGCAGAGCUCGCUCCCAGUCCUUACCGCCGCGCUUCAGGAGGGGCUCUUCCAUACCAAGGUGGAUGUUAGUAAGUUUCAGGAGAGGUGCUGGUUGAGCUAUGCUAAUAGUUUCACCCUCAUGCUAAGGGACCUGGAGAAGCCGAGCAACGCUUCUCUUUUUUAAGAGAUCUACAUGAGUGAUCCAGCGUAUAAGAAUCGUGCAGAUAUUUGAGAGCCAGCCUUUGUUGCACAACAAUUCCGUGUCUCUCUUCCAGUACGUGAAGGCUCUUGCCAGUCUAACAUGCUGGAUGAGUUCCCCUGCUCAAAACGUUGAAGAAAGAGACCAAUGUCUAUUCAUGAUUUGGUCCGGCGAGACCUGGUCCAGCUCUGGUCGUGCAGACGAGGAAGAUGAUAUGGACGUCGUGGAGCCUGACCACCCUGACAUGCAGAAGAGGUUAGAUCCUCCAGUUGAGGAGCUGACCGAGGAGAUCCCCGGCGCGUCCCAGGAAGUGAAGGGCAUGGCCCUGGAAACCCUAUCUCUCUCUCAAGUCGUUGAGCAUCUCACCAUGGUGAUCCCGCUGGACUUCAGCAACCAUGUAUGCAUGGUACUAGAGCAAUUGUGUUGUUUAAAUGUAAAACCUGCUGCCGCCAUCUGUGAUGAUGCCUAUGUCGAUCGAAAGACGGGAGAUCCUCUUGCGGUCAAGGAAGUGAUGCAUCCCAGCAAGUAAAGGGUGUGUCCAUGGAAGCCAUGUCUCUCUCUAGGGGACAACAUCGGAGCUCUGGUACAUGUAUAUGAGGCUCUUCUUGGUCACUCGACUCGACAAAGGCGACGAGGGCGACAAGGACUGAGUUGCAAUGCGUCUUGCAUUCCUUUUACAACUUCUCCACUGCUUGCCACUGAGCACCGGGAGCAAGAUGGCGGCGGUGCCAGGGAGCAUGGGAUCGACUGAGCGUCGGCAGCAGCUGGAUGGCAGGAGCUGUCUGAGAUGGUGAGGACAGAAGCACGGAGACAGUACAAGGUGUCCCUCUGGUCAUCGCCUUCUGUGAUGACGCUGGCGGGCCAUUCGAUGCGUCUCCUUCCUCACCUCAGUGGCAUGCUUUGCUUCAGCUUGCAGGUUAUGACCUUCCCUCUCAUUUUCUCACUGGUUUGAUUUGGUCAGCACAUCUACAGUACACAUGAUUUUGUUCUGGGGAAACCACUACCUAUACCACGGAUGUGCAUUGUCAUCAGCGGAUAACUUAAACCGUCACUGGUUUGUGCCAACACAUUUAAAGCUGGCGCUUUUGAUCAGUUGAAGCAGAACGAACCAAGGUAUAUGGAGUUGGACCCAGUUAAGAUUGCCAUCGAGGGGCUGGAGAGGUUUAGCAAAGAAAACUAUCAUCUCAUCACCACCAUAGAGACGAGUGGACGCCAUAAGAAAGAGUUAUGGGAAGGCUGUGAGGCCGGUUGUCUCCUACGCGUGAGUCUGCUAGGUGAGGCAGGCUGAUUUGGCGGCAAGCAGGGAGCCGAAAUUACGACGACGAGCAGGGUCAGCUGCGGAGGAGCAUGAGGCAAGCUGUGGUGCAUCGUGCAGAGGGGCGGUUGCGUGGGUCUCCGUCGACACACGCUGCCAGCUCGGCGGCACCACCACGAACAGCGGAAAGUGAGCUGCAGCUGCAGCCGCAAGACGCCGGCGAUCAUGGCAAACUUUCGGAAUGCUCCAGACCAUAAGCUUUUGUAAUGCUUGAAAUGAGAAAGUUUUAAUAGUGUAGUUUCCUUUGUCUUGUAUGUAUUAAUCUAUUUUCUUAGUUCGCUCUCUCUCUAAUCAUACUUGUGAGUCGAGUUGAACCGAUGUGAGUAGUUAUGUUUGCACACAUUGUGAUCUGUGAUCUUAAUGUCCCAAAAAGAGCCAUUGUCAUGGAAAAUUUUGAGUGCAAUUUGUAGUUAUACUUUUGUUCUUAAAGAGAACGCUGCAAUGUUUUAUUUC